rnacentral:rRNA from 1 species
CCCUUAGAUGUUCUGGGCCGCACGCGCGCUACACUGACUGGUUCAUCGAGUAUACAACCUUGACUGAUAGGUCUGGGUAAUCUUCUCAAAGCCAGUCGUGCUGGGGAUAGAUUAUUGUAAUUUUUAAUCUUCAACGAGGAAUUCCUAGUAAACGCGAGUCAUCAACUCGCAUUGAUUACGUCCCUGCCCUUUGUACACACCGCCCGUCGCUACUACCGAUUGAAUGGCUUAGUGAGCUUUCUGGACUGUCGCACUUCGUUGGAAACUUCGUUGUGCAUACGGGAAGGAAAUCAAACUUGAUCAUUUAGAGGAAGUAAAAGUCGUAACA